rnacentral:rRNA from 1 species
GACGAACCGUGCAAACGUUGUUCGGAAUCACUGGGCUUAAAGGGCGCGUAGGCGGGCCGGCCAGUCUGUGGUGAAAGCCCCCAGCUCAACUGGGGAAGUGCCGUGGAUACUGCCGGCCUGGAGGAGGGUAGGGGCAUCUGGAACGCUGGGUGGAGCGGUGAAAUGCGUUGAUAUCCAGCGGAACUCCGGUGGCGAAGGCGAGGUGCUGGACCCUCUCUGACGCUGAGUGCGCGAAAGCCAGGGGAGCAAACGGG